rnacentral:lncRNA from 12 species
UGUGCCAACCACAGGACUACGUGCCUUGUCUUUUUUGCAUUCUUAUAACAAUGUUAACCACCACUUCUCCUCUUGCUUUAACUGUACUUUGAGAUAACUGUGGAUUCAUGUGUUGGAAGACAUAAUACAGAUCCCGUGUACCCUUGACCCUGCUUCCUCCAGUGGUGACAUCUCGCAUAGUUAUGGUAACCACGUGGGUACAUCGUCACUGAUGCAGUCCCUUAGGCUUUUUCAGAUUUUACCUGUGUUAUAUGCACACACUUGUGUAUCUGCAUACGUAUGUAUAUUUUUUCCUGUCCAGUUUACUAUAGGUGUAGAUUCCGUUUCUUUUGAACAUAUGAUGGAAAGAAGGCUGAGGUCUGUAUGAGCUGUUGGCUGUUGUGCCAGGCCGGCUGGGGCCACGUGUGGACAGCCAGGAAGACCUGACCUUCCUCUGGGAUAUGUUUGGUGAGAAAAGCCUGCAUUCACCGGUAAAGUGCUAAGUUGCCAGUGGAAACUGCCCAUGGGCCACAUGAGAGACCACGGAUCCUGUAAUGCUGGGAGGCAUAAAGCUGGCACAGAAGUGCUGCAGAGAGGCUGUCACCAGUUAGAGGGAAGGAGCCAGAGAAGCAAGAGGUGUGGCAACAGCCAAGGGUCUUCAAAGGUAGAUGGACUGUGCACUCCCUUCCUGAAUGGGAGACCAGCACAGAGACCUUGGGGGCACGCCCUGCCCAGCCCUGCCCAGCCUCGCCCAGGCUCCAGCCGGAGGCUCCGCCCCAGGCCAUGGCCUUCCACUUACUCACGUGACCAUGCCACAGGCAUGCAGAGAGGCAGGCUGAGCUCUGCCAGGCCAGCAGGGUCCGUGCCAGGCCUGGUGGACUUCGAGGACAAGGAGCAGGUGAAGGCCUUUCUGGAGAACGUGGUGGAGUGCAAGUACCAGUGCUACUGUGAGAAGGACCCGAAUGAUUCAUGAAAAGCUCUACUACUAUG